AGUUGCUCCUUCAGGCUCAUAUACUAAAAAAAAUUGGAACAAUAUAGAAAAGAUUAGCAUGGCUCCUGUGCUCAGGGAUGACACGCAAAUUCGCGAAGUGUGUCGUAUUUAA